AGAUAAAUAAGCGAAAAAAGAUGUGGUCUGACUUUAUUGGUCGGGCUACUACACAGCUCCCACUCCCAUGCGCGAUCCCACUACUGCUCCACACGGGGACUUCUGGCUGCUGAGUUUCCCCUCUGGCCCGGUCCGCCCCUCCUUAGCCAACCUGGCCACCCCAAGCUCCCCCAGAGUGCCCAUAUUGAUGCCCAGCUUAGUGCGGACGCCCAGUCAACGUGGGACACAGUGCACCAGAACUCCCGACCUCAAAUCAUCCUCAACACCUAGCCUCCAAGUAGCUGGAUUACAGGAGUACGCCACCACUCCCAGCGACAAAACAACGAUUUAAAUCUAUAUGUUAUGAUGUUCACGCGCGAAGUUUGUGACGGUGUCUAAGAGAUGGCGCUAGCUGAUGUUUCCCGCUAUUAACGAUUCGGAAAGUCUUCAAUAUGAGCCCUGGAAGACAAAUCAUCUACCGAAGGAAGGAGCAUUUCUCUCCCAUAAAGAAGGACUCUUGGACAUCUGUGUCUGCUAAACAUGCUGACAAGUAAAGCGCGAGCUACCUUCUACACGUCUUGCUUGGGUAUUGUGACGGCUUCCGGAAAUUGUGUGAAAUGGUCAAUGAAG